GAAUAUUGGACAAUGGGCGCAAGCCUGAUCCAGCCAUGCCGCGUGAGUGAAGAAGGCCUUCGGGUUGUAAAGCUCUUUUGUCCGGAAAGAAAAGCAUUCGGUUAAUACCCGGGUGUCCUGACGGUACCGGAAGAAUAAGCACCGGCUAACUUCGUGCCAGCAGCCGCGGUAAUACGAAGGGUGCAAGCGUUACUCGGAAUUACUGGGCGUAAAGCGUGCGUAGGUGGUUUGUUAAGUCUGAUGUGAAAGCCCUGGGCUCAACCUGGGAAUGGCAUUGGAUACUGGCAGGCUAGAGUGCGGUAGAGGAUGGCGGAAUUCCCGGUGUAGCAGUGAAAUGCGUAGAGAUCGGGAGGAACAUCCGUGGCGAAGGCGGCCAUCUGGACCAGCACUGACACUGAGGCACGAAAGCGUGGGGAGCAAACAGG
rnacentral:rRNA from 1 species